CAAGUACACGUGUAACAUGGCAGAGAAAUUGCAAGUGUCCCCCUGCCUAGUCCUGUUCCCCUACCCUUCUUAGGAGUCCUCUAUGUAAUGACACCUAGGGUAUCCCUUGACCCUCCUAACAGUCUUUUGACAGAGACACCCUGAUUAAACCCUGACCCCCGGGUAAACCACGGAGGAAAGAGCUUCAAAUCUGUUUGCAGCUGCACUGGGAGGAACUGACAGAACCUGGAUUUGAACACAGGGCAGCUGUCUAGAAAACCCCAGCCCCUAGCCGCCACAGGGGCCUCAACCAACCACGAACAGGCAGUCAGCAAAGGAUGACAAGCUAAAACAUCCUCUCCUGCCUCAGGAUUGUAGUUGAGGGUGAUUACGUGUGGAUCCCCCAUGUUCUCUGAGGCCUCGUGUCCUCCAGUCGUACCAGUAGCCAAGAUAGUAGCUCUGGCGGCAACCGCAUCUUCAUGCUCCCCCCAGCAUGCCAGCAUCUCCGUGGAGAACAACACCUCCCUCAGCCACCCACUCCCCAGCUGCUCCUCAAACACCAUUGUUACCACCACCGGGGUGGGUGUGGGUGGGUGUCAUCGCCUGUGAGUUGCCUCACAUGUGGAUAGAGCAGCUGGGAAACCUGCUGAGGGGAGGGGUGAUCCACUCAAACGGGACCUCACCCUCACUUAGAUCCUUGAGUGACCCCCAGACCCCACAGGACUCAGGUUUCUGGCCAGGCUUGAGCUGGGGAAGGGAGAGUCUUCCAUAUGAUAAGACCGGGGCUCUAGUCUUAAUGCACCCCCAGGCUCAGGAGUAUUCUCCUGGCUUCUCUGGGCCCCAGUUUUCCUUCUAGAGAUAGCCAGCGGGCUUCCGGGGCCUUCCAGAGCUGGUGUGUGGAGCUCACUUCCAUGUGAGUUCCCAAAGGGCUUGAAUCAUCUUUCCUCACGGCUGAGAAUGGAUUCAGAGCUCUGCAGCUGUAUCUGUCUGCACAGAUAGGGUCUCAUUUAGCUCAAUAACUGGACAGUGUCACCCUCCUGGUUAAAACAAAGCACGGGAAAUGGAAACAACCUUCCUUGAGUGGCAUCCUGUCUUUGGAAAACUCUUGUUUAGGGCUGGAGAAAUGGCUCAGGUGGUAAAGCCCUGGCAGCCUGAGGGUCUGAGUUCAGAUGUUCAGUACUUAUAUAAAAAGCCAGGCAGGCCGGGCGCUGGUGGCGCACGCUUUUAAUUCCACACUCGGGAGGCAGAAGCAGGCAGAUCUCUGUGAGUUCGAGGCCAGUCUGGUCUACAGAGUGAAUUCCAGGACAGCCAGGGCUACACAGAGAAACUCUGUCUUGAAAAACAAAAACAAGGCUGGGCGGUGGUGGUGCACGUCUUUAAUCCCAGCACCCGGGAGGCAGAGGCAGGUGGAUCUCUGUGAGAUGGAGGCCAGCCUGGUCUACAAGAGGUAGUUCCAGGACAGGCUCCAAAGCCACAGCGAAAUGCUAUCUUGAAAAACAAAGCAAACAAACAAAAAUGAAAAAAAGAAAAACAACCCCCCCCCAACAAACAAACAAACAAACAAAAAAUAAAACAAAGAAAAGCUGCCAUGUAGGUGCUGGGAACUGAACUCGGGUCUUCUGGAAGAGCAGCCCACAUUCUUUAACCGUUGAGCCAUUUCUCCAGCCCCUCCUAGUCUUCUAACCUGGAUUAUGCUGCAUUUAAGACUAAAACCUAAAUCACCAACCGAUAAGGUCAAUGUUGUAGGAGCUUGGGGACAUUGGGUCCCCAGUUUGGGAUUGCCUGUUAAGGGUGAGGAGGAGCUCCCACAGAGAUGACUGGGCCCGUUCACCUUGCGGGCAAGUGCUCAAACUGUGUGUGUGAGGUGGAGACAGGUUCCUGUAUAUAUUCUCCCAUCGCGGUAGCACAGGAGGUCCAGGGAGGAGGUGAGGCUGAGCAGCAGGGACGAAGGAGGACGUGUGUUCUGAGAAAUUUGGGGAAUUAGCUCUGAGGUUGCUCCAAGGAAAAAGUGAUGUUUUGAAUCAAGAGUUAUUAUAUGUCUGAGCGCGAAGCUUUUUAAAGAACACCGUGUUUACUUAACAGUUGUGUUUAUAGAUUUACUUAUACCUGGCUUGACUUCAAACAGAAUCCGAAGCAGGUAAUUAUUCAAUCAGAUUGUGAACUCCUAGAAGGCAGGAAGUGUUGUCCCCCCUGUCUUCUGAAAGGCUAACUCCCACUCCCCAUCCACCUCCCCACAAGCUGCAUUCUUGGUCGAAAUAAUCUGGGUCUGUGCCUUUGUUCUUCAUAGAAGUGCGAUCUCAGCCAGUACAUAUAUCAUACAUGUAUCCAUCUGUGCGUGUAUUCACUCAACAUGCCAUUUACCCACCAGUAAACCAAACAUCCAUGCAACCCAUGCAACCUAAUGUCCAUCUACACACUUAUACACCAUCUCUCCAUCCAACAAAUCCUCGAUCACCAAACAAAACACCCAGCUAGCCAAAUACCUAGCCAGCCUAAUGCUCAUUCAUGCCCACCCACUUCCAUCUAUACAUUCAUCCGUGUGUCCAUAUAUUUGUCUAACCAACUAUUCAUCCACUUAUGUAUCUGUGCAAUCAUCCAGUAAUAAAGAUAUCUAUCAGUCAUUCACCCUUUCAGAACCCCUGGAAGCUGCCCAACAAAACAAGCUUCAAGGAGCUACAUUUUCCCCAGAGAUCACACUUUUCCCAGAGCUGUGUGACUUGCAGAGAAGACACUAACCAUUGAGUAAAGGAAACCCAAGACCCCCAAAGACUCUGUGAAAGGAGAUUAUUAUCCCUAUAUUUUAUAUGAGAAAAGAGAAUUUUAGUGACUUGUCCAAGGUCAUCUUUGAAUUAUCUGUUUGGCUGUCUGUCUGUGUGCGUUCGUUGGCACAUGUGUGCCACAGUGUAUAUGUGGAGGUCAGAGGGCAACUCUUGGGUUUUCUUGUCACCAAGAUCAUCUUUAAGGGAGGUCUCCAAAGACCAGCAUCUGGUUACAGAGCCCAUUAUCUUUUGCUCCCUACUGGGUGGGAGAAGAGAGAGGAGCAGCAGGUUUGCAAAUAGACCUGGGUAGGGGAAGGAGGCAACACUCUCCCUAUGCAUAUCAUUGCUUGAUCUUCCCCCUCCUCCCCCUUCUCCUCCUCCCCUCCUCCCCAUCUUCCUCCUCUUCUGUAGUACAUCUUAAAUUUACUCUUCUCUCACAUAACACAUUCCAACCACAGCUUCCCCUCCCUCCACUCCUCACAGUCCCCUCCCACCUCCCCUCUCCCCCAGAUCCAUGCCCCACCACCCCCAGAAAAGAGGUGUGCUUCCUACUUCUUGUUGCUCCUCCGGGGAAGGUCCUAGCCUUGCACCUGGCCUCCAUCUUCUUAACUAUGCGACUCUGCAGGCCAUUGUACCAGGGAGGGCCUGGGAAAGCCCACUAAUGCCAACAGCAUUGACUCCAGAAGCCCUGGCAUGUUGACAAAUAGGAACUGGACUGCUUUAAACUCAAGAGGAGCCUUAUGUUUCUUAUAGCCUGAAGUCCAUUUCCUGCUUGCUUCACCUCCCCCACCCUCUGCUCUUUUUGCCUUGUGCACUGACAUCUUGUUCAUUUGUCUGCUUCACUUUUCUGAGCAUGAAUAACAGACUCUUUUUUUGGGGGGGGUGGAAAACAAUUGUUCCUCUCUCGUUCUGGUUCUAACCCCAGCCAGGGGGUGGGUAGCCACCAGGCUGGGCCAAUUGUAGUUACUCAGAUCAUGUCUGGGUGUGGCAUAGAGGUAGCUGUCACCCAGCCUGACUAAGCAGAACCCUUCUGUGGGGCUUUCUAAGCGCGGCAGAUGGGGAGAGUGUCUUUUUGUGGGCUGUUCAGAGGCUUCUCAGCUCUCGGAUAGGAGCCCUUCACAGCUGAGCAGUGAGCAGCCACCAAAAAGGGAGAGAGCAUCUUGAUGGAGCCCAAGGACUAGUGUUGCCAUGGCUCCUGGGUCAACUCCAGCUGAGAUACCUUUGCUUUGUUUUUAGUUCAGGGAUGGGUGGGCAACCCGCUGGCCCUCUCCUUCAUGCUUGAAUCGGGAUUCUGUCCCUCGCAGGGAGUCAGUCUUGGCACCCACAUUCCCAUACCAGCGACUCCCAGGUCUCCUUUGGCCGAGCCCUCUCUUUUAGUUCUGCAUCCCAUCACGGUCAGUUUCUUUUACUUUUUUUUUUUUUUAAAUUUUAUUUUCCAGACAGGGUUUCUUUGUGUGUUCCUGGCUGUCCUGGAACAUGUUCUAUAGACCAGGUUGGCCUUGAACUCACAGAGAUCCACCUGCCUCUGCCUUCCUGAGUGCUGGGAUUAAAAGAGUGCACUGCCACUGGCAGGCACAGUUUCUUAAACUCCCCUUCUCAGUCUUGGAGAUUUUUUCCCUCUCUGCUCCUGGCUCACACUCUUGAGUCUCUGUUUGUAUCCAGCACAGUCUUGGUUAUACUACUGCUGUGUAGCCUUCAAUGGCUCCCCUUUAUUCUUAAGGUUAAACUUAACUUUAAGAAAUGAAACUUCGGCUGGGUGGUGGUGGUGUAUGCCUUUAAUACCAGCACUUGGGAGGCAGAAGCAGGUGGAUCUCUGUGAAUUUCAGGCCAGCCUGGUCUACAGAGCGAGUUCCAGGACAGCCAGGGCUACAUACUGGACUGUCUCAAAACAAAAAUCAAUCAAACAAACAAAAACAUCCCAAACCAAACCAAACCAACCAAACAAAACUUCUGUGUCUGGAGAGAAGGUUCAGUGUCUUCAGAGCACCUGCGGGACUUUCAGAGGACCAGAAUUUGGUUCUCAGGACCCACAUAGAAGCUAACAACUACCAGCAACUAACUCACUCACUCACUCACUCACUCACUCACUCACUCACUAACUAACACUAACUAACUAAUUAGCUAACAAGUACCUGCAACUCUAGCUUCAGAGGAUCCGGUACCCUUUUCUUUAUUUUAUGUGUUGAGUGUUUUGUCUGCAUGUAUGUGUAUGUACCACAAGCAUGUCACAUGCCGGUGGGGCUAGAAGAGGCCGUCACAUCCCUUGGAAGGAGGGCUACAGAGUUGUGAGCCCACACAUGAGUGCUGGGAACCAAACCUGGAUCCUCUGCAAGAGCAGCAGGUGCUUUUAACCUCGGAGCCACCUUUGUGGCUCCCAUAUGCCUCAUUUCUAAUUCUUCAACCAUUUCGAAUUUACGGCGCUUUAUCCGACUCCUUCCAGUUCUUAUACAAGCGUGGUGUGGUUGUCCACACACACACACACACACACACACACACACACACACACACACACACACACCGUGCUACUAACAACAGCGUAGACAUUUCCCAUAGCAUUUCAGCAACUUUCCCAGGGUUGUCUUGUUUCUGUCUAAGGCUCUGGUCAGGACACUAGACUGGCUUUUCAGUAGAGCACCAGAAAUCCUUCACGAUCUAACCUAUGGCUUCCUCCAGCCUGCCCCUGGUCCCUUUUCCCCACCUCCUUCUGCUCUGGUUACCCAGAUUGGACUGCACUUUCUGUAAGGGACUAGGCCUUCUUUCACUCCCGGGACGCUGCACAUCUCUCCUCCUGACCCUUCCUUUUCCCUUCUAACAUUUAGUCAUCCCUGAGGACUGACUUGGGGUGCUCUCCUCCAUGGAAUCUUCCUGACCUUCUGUUAUAUCCCCCACCCCCCACUGAACUUUUUUUUCUCCUUUUGAGAUAGGGUUUCUUUGUGUAACAGCUCUGGCUGUCCUGGAACUCACUUUGUAGACCAGGCUGUCCUCGAACUCACAGAGAUCCACCUGCCUCUGCCUUCUGAGUGGUGGGAGUAAAGUUGUGCGCCACCAUGUCCAGCUCCUCACGACGCCUUUUGCCCCAAUUCUGAUUAUUGAUUUCCUGGUCUUCCUGGUUAUGCUGGAGCCCUCUGGGGCCAGCACCCCAUUUCAUUAUCUCCGUGGGAAUACAGUGAGAUGGGAAAUAGUGACUUUCACAGAAGUACUGCCUCAGGUCAGAGACAGGAGUCAGGCAGCCUAGGGAGACACCCAGGGAGGCUUGUAAGUAUGGCUGUGCCGCAGGCAUAUUUGAUGGAGUUCUUUCUAUAGUGUGGGCUUUGCCAUCCCCCUCUUUUUGCAGAUGAAGGAUCAGACACCUGCUCAGGCAGGCGCACAGCUACUAGGAGGUGGGUCACCGAACUGCUUGGUUGGCAGAGACUGCUCUAGACCUGUGCAGGUGGGCAGGCGGGAAGGUUCCAGGCUGGGGCAGCCGAUGAAGCUGUCAUUUUGGAAGCUCCUGCCUCCAGGUUCCUGCUGUGUUUGGGUUCCUGUCCCAACUUCCUUCAACUAUGUACUAUGAUGUGGAAAAAGAAAAUGUUGGACAAUCUAACAGAAAAGCCCCUGAGGGACCUGGGAGAUGAGGUCACCAGCACUGGGAGGGGUGGUCCCCCUGGAAUCAAUGCUGUGUGGAGCUUUUAGUUCUUUCUGAAAGAAACAGGGCUUCGCUGUUCUUGGUGAGGAGGAACCAGGAGGACAGAAGACAGUCCCUGCCGUUGGAGGCCAUUGACAGCAGGCAGACAGAUCCCAAGUAGAAUCGGUGAGCGUCACCUGUGACCAGCCCAGCAAUGCUAGG